GACGUAGGAGGCGAGCGUUGUCCGGAUUCAUUGGGCGUAAAGAGCGCGCAGGCGGCUUGGUAAGUCGGAUGUGAAAUCCCGAGGCUCAACCUCGGGUCUGCAUCCGAUACUGCCCGGCUAGAGGUAGGUAGGGGAGAUCGGAAUUCCUGGUGUAGCGGUGAAAUGCGCAGAUAUCAGGAAGAACACCCGUGGCGAAGGCGGCUCUCUGGGACGGUACUGACGCUGAGACGCGAAAGCGUGGGGGAGCGAACAGG
rnacentral:rRNA from 1 species